rnacentral:lncRNA from 1 species
CCACUUUUGUUUUUCUAUGUUGAUUGGACAAUAAAAUUGGAGUCAGAACUCAAAUUUGGCAUUAAAAUUAGAAAGAGCAUAUCAUAAGGAACAUAUGUACUAAGUUUCAAAUUGAUUGGACUUGAACUUCAUCAAAAUUUACCUCGACCAAAAACUUUAACCUGAAGCGGGACAGACGGAAUAACGAACGAACGAACGAACGCAC